UUUUAAGCAAUUCAGUAAUUAUACUCAAUUUAAAAUUAUUACAAAAUAAUGGCUGUAUUUCCCUGUGCAGUACAAUAUAUCCUUGAUGCUUAUUUGUUUGAUACAUAGUCAUUUAUAUCUCUUAAUCCCCUAUCCCCAUCUUGCUGCUCUUCCCUUUCCCUCUCCCCAGUGAUAUCCACUAGUUUGUUCUCUGUACCUGUGAGUUUGU